UAGGGAAUCUUCCACAAUGGACGCAAGUCUGAUGGAGCAACGCCGCGUGAGUGAAGGAGGGUUUCGGCUCGUAAAGCUCUGUUGUUAAAGAAGAACGUGGGUAAGAGUAACUGUUUACCCAGUGACGGUAUUUACCAGAAAGCCACGGCUAACUACGUGCCAG
rnacentral:rRNA from 1 species